CCUGAGGUUGUGCCCCCGGGCCAUGUCAUUGGAGGUCUCGCCCUCAUACGGGCCCCCACCACUCUGCGAUGCUCCUCCCAUCGCCGCCUCUCUGCCGCGUCGAGGGGCCACCCCCUUGGCUGGCAUUCUGCCUCUCAGGCUGCGCCAAUCUUUGACUGAUCUGUGCGGCAGCCCUCAACCCCUGCCAAGAUGACCCUGCAUCACAAUCGAGCACACCUGAAGCUCUUAUUCGAUGGCAGGCUGCGCAAGCAAGGUGAGAAGCUCUGUUUCAUGCAAUUUACAGAUGCCAUUUGCAUUUGUACACAGGCUUUGAAGCUACUCUUUGUCCUGCACAGCACAGCACAGCACACUUGUGCAGAUGUGUUUUAACAUGCGCACAUCUACAGCAGGAAGCUGGUAGGUGUUGAUAGUUCAAGUGCCAAGACAGACCUGUCCAUGACUCUGCACCCCUGCACCACAAGCUGCGCUGUGAAGGGCUCACAUCAGCACACCCGUCACCUCCAGUCCAUGUCGGUUUUUCCGCAUGCGUUAGCCAUGCCUCUUCGCAGAUCCUGCGCACAUGAGAGACAUGAGCGCAGCCUGGCUUAUGUUUUAAUGGUACUUACAGAUCAAGGGGACGAGGCAAGCAGCUCCCGUGACUACAGCGUCCCGACGUCAUCGCCGCGUCGUCAUCCAUGGUUUUCGAGUUUUCCAAAAGCACCAGGCGUUUCAGCCGCUGACUUAUCACAAGAAAUCGUCCGACUGGCCUCAUGCACAUUGACCUAUCGGAAAUUUCCGUGUCCUCCUUUACUAGUGCCUUCGCACAACGGACACACAGCACUAACGUAUUAAUUCACAAAGGAUCAGACUGUGCGAUCCACCUCAUUCCAGACGGGCAACACGGGGCAAGCAAAGCCGUGGCUUCUGUUGUAGGCAGCCGAUACUCAGGACUGUGCCACCUUGCACACUGUUCUAUUUUUUGGCAUGUACACCAUGCGGACUAACAUAAAGAAGUCAGGUCAUCAGGGCACCUUGGCUUUCCUCGAGGAUGAGCCUUAUCACUCCAGCACUGUUCCCACAGGCGGUGAAUAAGCAAGCUGGGAGGAUCGCUCUCCCAGAACUCUGCCCGGAGGCGUGGAGACUGCUCCAAUCCACAGCCACAAAUCACAAUGAGCUACCUGGCCAACGCUUGCCGAUCAGCUGCACGGAUGUCACCGGACCAGAUCCCUCGAGCGAAGGCCCGAAAU
rnacentral:lncRNA from 1 species